rnacentral:rRNA from 1 species
AGCGAACGCUGGCGGCAGGCUUAACACAUGCAAGUCGAACGGGCAUCUUCGGAUGUCAGUGGCAGACGGGUGCGUAACCCGUGGGAACGUACCCUUCGAUUCGGAAUAACUCAGGGAAACUUGAGCUAAUACCGGAUACGCCCUUUUGGGGAAAGGUUUACUGCCGUAGGAUCGGCCCGCGUCUGAUUAGCUUGUUGGUGGGGUAACGGCCUACCAAGGCGACGAUUAGUAGCUGGUCUGAGAGGAUGAUCAGCCACACUGGGACUGAGACACGGCCCAGACUCCUACGGGAGGCAGCAGUGGGGAAUAUUGGAAAAUGGGCGCAAGGCUGAUCCAGCCAUGCCGGGUGAGUGAUGAAGGCGUUAGGGUAGUAAAGCUCUUUUGUCCGGGACGAUAAUGACGGUACCGGAAGAAUAAGCCCCGGCUAACUUCGUG